GAAUUUUGGACAAUGGGGGCAACCCUGAUCCAGCCAUGCCGCGUGCGGGAAGAAGGCCUUCGGGUUGUAAACCGCUUUUGUCAGGGAAGAAACGCUCUGGGCUAAUACCCCGGGGUAAUGACGGUACCUGAAGAAUAAGCACCGGCUAACUACGUGCCAGCAGCCGCGGUAAUACGUAGGGUGCAAGCGUUAAUCGGAAUUACUGGGCGUAAAGCGUGCGCAGGCGGUCGUGCAAGACAGAUGUGAAAUCCCCGGGCUUAACCUGGGAACUGCAUUUGUGACUGCACGGCUGGAGUGCGGCAGAGGGGGAUGGAAUUCCGCGUGUAGCAGUGAAAUGCGUAGAUAUCUGGAGGAACACCGGUGGCGAAGGCGGCAUCCUGGACCAAUACUGACACUGAGGAGCGAAAGCCAGGGGAGCAAAC
rnacentral:rRNA from 1 species